rnacentral:lncRNA from 1 species
ACGGCACACAGAGCUUCUCGGGAAGUGGACUGCGCAGGCCUUUUAAUCAGUCUGUGGUGCAAAGACACAUUUCAAGACAAUCCUUAGAAGUCUUGGACACGCCUCUGCACAUGUGGCAGGUAUGUCUCUGUAUACUAAAUGUACAAGACACGUUGCUUUCUCCAUCCUUCCAGAGCUAAGUCUAAAUUACAUCUUGAU